ensembl:snRNA U4 U4 spliceosomal RNA
AGCUUUGCACAGCGGCAGUAUUGUAGCCAAUGAGAUUUAUCUGAGGAGCGAUUAUUGAUAAUUGAAAACUUUUCCCAAUACCCCGCCGUGAUGACUUGCAAUAUAGUUGGCACUGGCAAUUUUUGACAGUCUCUACAGAGA